GCGCCCGCAGCCUUGGGCCUGGGAGAGGAGGACAAAGCCAUGAAGGAAAAGCCUCACUGAAGAAGAGGAACCUAAGAGAAGCAGGUUCUGCUCUGAUGAACUCCCAUAAAGGCAUUCCCAUAAAGGUGUGGGCCUGAGUGAUAAUCUAGAUAUGGUACAGUUGACAUCAGGUAUAUGGCGGCAGCCAGAAAUUCAACUUUGUCCAUCAGCUCUCUGCACAACAGGAAAGAUGGUGACCUUCCAGGCUUAUCUGAGGUCCAAGAGUAACAUCACAAACACAGUAACUACACCCAGCCAAAGAAAAGCAUACCUGAAUCCAAGAGAGUAUUUACACUGGCUUCAGGGAUGAGGAAAUAAAGGAGUAAGUGAUUAGG
rnacentral:lncRNA from 1 species